rnacentral:rRNA from 1 species
AUUGAACGCUGGCGGCAGGCCUAACACAUGCAAGUCGAACGAGUGGCGGACGGGUGGGUAAUGUCUGGGAAACUGCCUGAUGGAGGGGGAUAACUACUGGAAACGGUAGCUAAUACCGCAUACCAUCGGAUGUGCCCAGAUGGGAUUAGCUAGUCGGUGGGGUAAAGGCUCCCCUAGGCGACGAUCCCUAGCUGGUCUGCGAGGAUGACCGGCCACACUGGAACUGAGACACGGCCCAGACUCCUACGGGAGGCAGCAGUGGGGAAUAUUGCACAAUGGGCGCAAGCCUGACGCAGCCAUGCCGCGUGUAUGAAGAAGGCCUUCGGGUUGUAAAGUACUUUCAGCGGGGAGGCGUUACCCGCAGAAGAAGCACCGGCUAACUCCGUGCCAGCAGCCGCGGUAAUUC